rnacentral:tRNA from 1 species
GGGGUUAUAGCUCAGUUGGUAGAGUACUUGCCUGCUAAUUAUGAAGCCCUGGUUUUAAUCCUAUCACCUCA